rnacentral:rRNA from 1 species
AUUGAACGCUAGCGGGAUGCCUUACACAUGCAAGUCGAACGGAGUGGCGAACGGGUGAGUAAUGUAUCGGAACGUGCCCAGUCGCGGGGGAUAACUACGCGAAAGCGUAGCUAAUACCGCAUACCUUUUGAGCUGCCGUUAUCGGAUUUGCGAUUGGGUGGGGUAACGGCUCACCAAGGCGACGAUCCGUAGCUGGUUUGUGAGGACGACCAGCCACACUGGGACGGAGACACGGCCCAGACUCCUACGGGAGGCAGCAGUGGGGAAUUUUGGACAAUGGGGGAAACCCUGAUCCAGCCAUCCCGCGUGUGCGAUGAAGGCCUUCGGGUUGUAAAGCACUUUUGGCAGGAAAGCGGUACCUGCAGAAUAAGCACCGGCUAACUACGUGCCAGCAGCCGCGGUAAUUC